UGGGCGUAAGGGCUCGCAGGCGGUUUCUUAAGUCUGAUGUGAAAGCCCCCGGCUCAACCGGGGAGGGUCAUUGGAAACUGGGGAACUUGAGUGCAGAAGAGGAGAGUGGAAUUCCACGUGUAGCGGUGAAAUGCGUAGAGAUGUGGAGGAACACCAGUGGCGAAGGCGACUCUCUGGUCUGUAACUGACGCUGAGGAGCGAAAGCGUGGGGAGCGAACAGGAUUAGAUACCCUGGUAGUCCACGCCGUAAACGAUGAGUGCUAAGUGUUAGGGGGUUUCCGCCCCUUAGUGCUGCAGCUAACGCAUUAAGCACUCCGCCUGGGGAGUACGGUCGCAAGACUGAAACUCAAAGGAAUUGACGGGGGCCCGCACAAGCGGUGGAGCAUGUGGUUUAAUUCGAAGCAACGCGAAGAACCUUACCAGGUCUUGGCGGCCGCUGACAAUCCUAGAGAUAGAACGUCCCCUUCCGGGGCACAGAGUGACGUGUUGUACGUGUGUCUCCUCCUCUCGUG
rnacentral:rRNA from 1 species